UGCAAGUCGAGCGCUGAUUUCGGGGUAGCAAUAUUCCGGAGUCGGAGCGGCGCAAGGGUGCGUAACACGUGGGUAAUCUGCCAUGAAGUCUGGAAUAACUUGCUGAAAGGCGAGCUAAUACCGGAUGUGACGAUCGGGAGACAUCUCCUGGUUUUCAAAGUUGGGGACCGUAAGGCCUGACGCUUCAUGAUGAACCCGCGGCCUAUCAGCUAGUUGGUGAGGUAACGGCCCACCAAGGCUAAGACGGGUAGCUGGUCUGAGAGGACGACCAGCCACACUGGAACUGAGACACGGUCCAGACACCUACGGGUGGCAGCAGUCGAGAAUUUUUCACAAUGGGCGCAAGCCUGAUGGAGCGACGCCGCGUGGGGGAUGAAUGGCUUCGGCCCGUAAACCCCUGUCAUUCGCGAUCAAACCUUGUUAUUUAAAAGAUGACGAGCUGAUAGUAGCGGAAGAGGAAGGGACGGCUAACUCUGUGCCAGCAGCCGCGGUAAUACAGAGGUCCCAAGCGUUGUUCGGAUUCACUGGGCGUAAAGGGUGCGUAGGUGGUGAGGUAAGUCGGAUGUGAAAGCUCGGAGCUCAACUCCGAAAUGGCAUUGGAAACUACCUUGNUCGAGGAAUGGAGGGGGGACUGGAAUUCUCGGUGUAGCAGUGAAAUGCGUAGAUAUCGAGAGGAACACCAGUG
rnacentral:rRNA from 1 species